rnacentral:rRNA from 1 species
UACGUAGGGGGCAAGCGUUGUCCGGAUUUAUUGGGCGUAAAGAGCGUGUAGGCGGCCAUACAGGUCAGCUGUGAAAACUCGAGGCUCAACCUCGAGACGUCGGUUGAAACCGUUUGGCUAGAGUCCGGAAGAGGAGAGUGGAAUUCCCGGUGUAGCGGUGAAAUGCGCAGAUAUCGGGAAGAACGCCCGUGGCGAAGGCGGCUCUCUGGGACGGUACUGACGCUGAGACGCGAAAGCGUGGGGAGCGAACAGG